UCACUGAUGGAAAUGGAAGUGCAGUAGACUGAAAAGGAUUUCCGAGAACGACACCUUUGACUCGACACAUAUAGGCCUUUCAAACAGUAUAAACCCCAGAAUGGAUUAUUUUUGAGGUUGCAAACUUAUCAAAGUACAGCACUUCAACAGGUGACAAGGAAAUGAACAUCAAGCAUCAUGAAAGGGUGUUAGAAAACAAAACGUCCAGGUUGGCAGGAUAUUGAAGACUUGCCAUAUGCAUUUGAAUAACAAGCCUCAGUAGGAGGGAACCUGACAGGAAAUAAAGAAUUGUAGCAUCUUCUAAAGGUAGUUUUUCUAACAAAGGAUUACCAGGCUGCAGGAGUGAAGGAGCAUGCAUCCACGUUAAAUAAAAAGAUCCUCUGAAAACUACAUUUUCUAAAAUUCUUCAUUCCUUCAGUCAAAGCCUUUUCCUCUAAAUCUCCCUAAUGAGAUGAAGGCCAUCAAUAAAAUAUAAAGAUAGAGGAAUGCUCUCUGUG